rnacentral:lncRNA from 1 species
UCCAUAUGAAUGCCCAUGAUUCUGGAGUGAGAUGUUCGACGAGCAGUAUGUAUGCGUGUCCACAUACUUUUGGUCAUGUAGUGUGUGUUACAGGUAAGAUACCAAACCACCUGGUGUUCAGCAAGAUAUAAAGCUUCAUUUACAGCGGUUGUCCACACGGUAGAUAAUAUGUGCACAGCAUGUUGCUAAUAUGAAGCCACUUAGUUACCACUUAUGUUCAUGUAGACCGUAAGUAUUUAGCUAGUUCGCCUAGUCUUUGGUUCUCGACGAGAAAGAUCCACAAGUAGUCGACAGGAAUUAAACCAUUUUUUUAAAGUGUAAUUUCACGUAAUUAUCUGGUUGAUAGUUUUCCACCUUCCUCGUAGUUCAACAACUCCUCUACAUGUGACCGACUAAUAUAGGCGACAAUGUAAUCAUUUAUUAUCAGCGUAUAUUUCACCAAUCAUUAGCCUAAUAUAGCAAAUAACUACGUUAAGAACGCCGAAAACAUGGUUUCGAGUAGCCUAACGGUGGCUCAUUCCCUAAUGUUAGCUAGCUGGAACCCUGUAGCAAUAACGUUAUUGACGUUGGGUCAUACUUGCGCCACCUCUCCCAGUCGAAAAUAUAACGAGGUUGCUAGCCAAGUAGCGUUACUUCAAAUUACUUUUACUUACCUCCUUCAAUUAACAAUAUCCACGUUUCAAUGUUUUGUUUUCACAAAAGAAAGGAAAAUAACAUCCACCUUGAAUUUGUAACGUUAUGCGCUUCUGUUUUGCCCGUGUUUCACAAAAGAAAGGAAAAUAACAUCCACCUUGAAUUUGUAACGUUAUGCGCUUCUGUUUUGCCCGUGUUUCACCAGGCUUCUGUUGCUCUACUACUACUCACUCCGCAGACUGCCCCUUGUACCUAUGUCUAUUGCCGCGUUCACUUACUAGUCGAGACUAGGAACACUCGGACAUUUCCGACUUGCUAUAAGUGCUGAAACGCGACACGUGUAUACAGCAACUACAACCAGUUAGCAAGUCUGAAGUUUCCUUGUUCUGACUAGCAAGUGAACGCGGCAUGUGGUCUGAACUCGGGAGAUUACGUGGCAAACUGCAAUAGAGC